ACUACCCCAUACUUACACAGAUGAAGGCACAGUGCACUGAAGUAUGAUAAAGUGCUGAUAUAAAGAUUCAAGACAGGAAGUUUAGCAAAGUAUAUUCUCUACUGAAACAAUGGGUUUCUCUCUCAAAUCGCAGAAUCACACUGCUUGUACAAUAUACUGUUACAAUUUUAUAUUAACAUAUCUAUUAAAUGAACACGACCAACAUCUGCUCUCCAUCACUAAAAGUGUUUGCUUUGUUCUCAACACGUCACCCUUAUCAUGGUAAAAAAAAAAAAGACGUCAUAGACGACUUCUGGCAGAAGCUAACAGGGGCGGAAUGGGAAGCAGCGCAGGAAUUUGCUGUCAAAGGGCAUCAAUGCGAUCUUUUGCCGUGGACUGGUUGCCCACCAAUUACAUACAACAUUAUCUAUUAAUUAUCUCCGUGAUCAAACUAAAAAACACACGGCGAGAUUGACUGGAAUGUCUGGCACCCCAGUAUAUAGGAUAUUGUGGUAGAAAAAUCCAUGGUUAUGCAAAUUCAAUGCAAAUUCAAUCAGUAAUUAAUAAUGAUAACACUGUUGAUUCAACUACAAUGAUAAAAUUAACUUCUGCCUUGAAACAUUUAAUAUACUAAACAUUCAAUGCAAUAAUGCAAGCUUGCUUAAGUAAUAGGUUUUCAUUUUUAGAUAAGAGGAACUAACAUAUUUUGGUAUGAUAGCUAUUAUUCUGCAAAAAGUAACGGUACAGACCUGACCCGAGAAGCAAGGCUGCUGCAGAAACCAAUACAAGAAAUGCAUGUAUGUUAGGGGUCAAGGUAAUGUGGAAAGAGAAAACAUAUGGAACAUAUGGGGAAGUGAGAUGAAGAACUCAACUUGUUUAGACAGGGUAAUGAAACCACAGGAAUGAUCACGAAUAGGUCGACCCUGCCUUAAACUAGCGUGUUUUUGGCUAUAAAAGAUGCAUGUACUUGUUGAACGCAAGACACGAGAAACUGCCGAGUGCCUGUUUCCCCAAAGCUUUGCGGUACAAUAAAGUUUUGUCAGACUCUUACUUGACUUGAAAUUUCUACAACAAUAUACAAUACCAGGGCUUGGGGAGAAAGACCGGACAACUGGGAAAAUUCACAACUUGCCCAAUGGCAGCUCACACCUAGGAAGCCAAUUUCACUGGCAGAUCACGCGAGAGGUAUGGAAAUGGGAGGAAGCAAGGUGCUGGCUUUCAGCAUAACAUUGCCUGCACUGGUUGUAUCUGUGCAUCUUACUGUGGAAUGGUGGCUCACAGGUUCACAUUGCUGCCUCCAUGCUUCCAGUGCUGGUCAUCUUAACCCCACCUUCAACCCCCCCCCCCCCUCAUGGGGGUUUCCUCUGCGUUCUCUGGUUUCCACCUGCAUAGCCUGACACCUGGAAAUUGUUGUGCAGCUCUUCAUCCUGCACUGCUUACACUUGUACCUGGGCAUUCCUUGGAAGCUCAGCCUCGACAGGUGUAUGUUUAUAAUGUGCUAUUUGCCUCACCUGUAAGUCAAUUUGGUUAAAAUCAUGUGCUAAGUAAAAUAAAUGUAAAUCUAUAAA